rnacentral:lncRNA from 1 species
AAAAAGAGGAGAAACCCUAAAAUCCUUGAAGUUGCAAAAUUGAGAAGGGAAAUUGAAGCUAAUCAUAUGCAUGAAUCUGAAUGUGCAACCAUUUAAGCCUACUAAUCAAGUGGCAUAGGGAUCAUGUGGAAAUGGACUCAAGAACGGAAGGUUAACGGGUCAAGCGGAGGCGAGGAAGCAAGCAUGAACACUAACGCUCGAGGUUGCGUGGAUUUAGCAUCAUUAUGAAGGAUAGAAAGAUUGAAGAUCGAGUCAAGAGCAAAGGAUUGUACG